rnacentral:rRNA from 1 species
AUUGACCGCUGGCGGCAGGCCUAACACAUGCAAGUCGAGCGAGCGCCGGACGGGUGAGUAAUGCCUGGGAAUUGCCCAGUCGAGGGGGAUAACAGUUGGAAACGACUGCUAAUACCGCAUAGGAUUGGAUUGCCCAGGUGGGGUUAUCUUGUUGGUCAGGUAAUGGUUCACCCGGGCGACGUUCCCUAGCUGGUCUGAGAGGAUGAUGAGCCAAACUGUAACUGAUACACGGUCCAGGUUAAAACGGGAGGCAGCAGUGGGGAAUAUUGCACAAUGGGGGCAACCAUGAUGCAGCCAAUCCGCGUGUGUGAAGAAGGCCGUCGGUAUGUAAAGCACUUUCAGCGAGGAGUCGGUACUGGCAGAAGAAGGACCGGCCAAGUCCGUGCCAGCAGCCGCGGAAAUUC